rnacentral:rRNA from 1 species
CAGUAGGGAGGAAGGUAGUGUAGUUAACACCUGCAUUAUUUGACGUUACCUACAGAAGAAGCACCGGCUAACUCCGUGCCAGCAGCCGCGGUAAUACGGAGGGUGCGAGCGUUAAUCGGAAUUACUGGGCGUAAAGCGCAUGCAGGCGGCCUGUUAAGUCAGAUGUGAAAGCCCGGGGCGUUAACCUCGGAAUUGCAUUUGAAACUGGCAGGCUAGAGUCUUGUAGAGGGGGGUAGGAAUUUCAGGUGUAGCGGUGAAAUGCGUAGAGAUCUGAAGGAAUACCAGUGGCGAAGGCGGCCCCCUCGGACAAAGACUGACGCUCAGAUGCGAAAGCGUGGGGAGCAAACAGGAUUAGAUACCCUGGUAG